GGGCUGCAGGGCUGCGGGCGCUUGGUUCGGCCUGGCCCGGCCGGCGGCUCCUAACACCGGGCGGGCGGCUGCGGCGGCACUUCCGGGUUGGCCUUCUCCAUGUUGGUCUCGGGAACGUGAAGGGGCGGGGCCUCGAGGUCAGGGGUCAGCACCUCCCUGGUUGCCGUGGCGACUGGAGGCGCGCGACGCGGGCGCAAUGGCGGGGACCCGGGGCUUGAUGCUGCUUGGGCCUGGCCCAGUGGCGGGUCCUAGGGACGUGGGUACCUGCAGAGGCCGGCAGAUGGAGAUUCAGAAACAUAAGGACAACAAGAAACUUCCCCAAGGUAUCAUUAUAGUCUUUAGACUUCAGACACACACCACACCUCAAAUAUAUACACAACUGAAAGGAAAAUUAAGGAAGUUUUUCAAAGAACCCUAUUCCGAGUAAGAAGUGUGUUGCAUGAAUUUCUAAGAGCCAGAAAAUGCAUGACACAGGAGAAGAUGUACCCUCAUCUGUUCAGUGAGAGAUGUGCAAAUCAACAUCAACACAGAACUGCUGAAGAAAAAAAAUAUGUCUCUGAAAAGCAACUUAUUCACUGGAGAUGUGAGGAGCCAUCCGCACAUCACAAUUCUAUAGACAUCAAACGCAUGAAGCAUUUCGGAUCUGCUUUAAGACUGAGGCAGACUUUCCAUCUGGACACAGCCGACCAUCCAUGUGUCAUUACAAUGAAUCCAGCACUUCCCUGGAAGCUGGAAGGGUCAAAUUCAACUUCAACUCUGCCACUUCCUGCUUAACUUGCUGUUUAACCUUGGGCAAGCUGCCAUCCCACACGAGGCCGAAGGUGUCGGUUUUUAAAAUACAGAAAUUUGGUUCCAUGAGGGAUUAUCAAUAUACUGCUGGUGGGCCAAAUUCCAUCUGCUACUUGCCUUUGUAAAUAAAGUUUUAUUGAAACACAAACAUGCCCAUUAGUUUACUCUUGUCUGUGACUACAAGGGCAAAGUUGAAUAGUUGUUACAGAGACCAUCAGGCUCACAAAGCCUAGGUUAUUUACUAUCUGCCCAUUUACAGAGUAAGUUUGCCAGCCCUGGACUGGAUAAUUUUUUGAGUUCUUUCUAAUUCUAGAAUUCUUUAUAUAUUUUAUGAAACCCCUAAUGUUUAUAUAUUAAUUAUUUCAAUACCCGUGUCUUUACUGAGUCCCUCCUAUGAAGCAUACAUCAAGACAUAUGUGUGAUACAUUAACUAAACUUUUAACAGUAUCUUAAAUAGGAUUUCAAUGACUAACAGCUCUUGGAAAUAUCCAAGGUAACAUUUGGGGGCAAAUGUCUUAUGAUUUGAUUAUCAUUGGUAAAUAGAGCAUAUCUUUUUUUCCACUAACAAUGUUUAAGAAGUUAAAAAAAAAUCAAGAAAACCCCGUAUGGCACUAGAGACUUAUUGCAUUAAGACAUCAUCUUAACAGAUUGUUUAGUUUUGGUAAUAUAAUUUGACAUCUAAACAUAAGCUGAGAGGGAUCUCCCUCAAAACCUUUGAUAAUAUGAUUCAUUGUCAAAUGUUUGUUUUGCCUAUCUGGCACUCAUUAAUUAAUUCUUUUUAAUAUAGCUUGGAUUUACUGAUUUUGAAAAAGAGAAUUAUUCUUAUUGAUGUUGCUAAAAUAUCCAGGUGGCUUGAAUUUCACCAACUAGAUAGUUUAAUCUAGCACAUUUGUGUAGCCCUAAUCAAAUCUUUACUAACAGAUGUGAGAAGCCCAGUACUGGAGCUAAUGUUUGUGUCUCAAUGAUAAUUAAAUUAGCUUAAUAAGGAAAAUAAAUGAACAAUAAUCACCAAAAUUUUUCCCUAAACCUGUGUUAUAGUCUUAAAAACAUUUUUUCCCCUAUGGAGGCUUUUGGUAAUAAAACACAAAUUGAGGGAUUUUAAUUAAAAGAAAUUUUUUUUUCAAGAACUGGUCAUGUACUAAAUUGCUUAUAAUCAAAUAAUCAAGUAGCAUUUCUUUUAUUAUAAGAGCAAAACCUAUAAUUAAGCCAAAAUUCAAAUUUGUUUUUAAAGGUUGAAUAAUCUUUUGUUUUGGCCAAUAGUAUGUGGAUUUUUUUUUUAAGUAUUAUCUCUUUGUAGUAUUUUCUAAUGGAUAGGAAAUGCCUUUCUCAGGUUGAAUGAUUAUUUCCACAUAGAAUUAGUUCCUGCUUACAACAGUGCUCCACUAAUGUAAUGGCUCGGUGAAUUGGCUUUAUAAUUCAUUAAUCAUAGCUCACAUUGAGCUUUUGGCUCCAGGUGACAGUGCCCACCACAGGCCAAAUAACUUCUCAUUUAAAGGCAAUUUGUACAAAUAGGGAAGGUGAGAAUUCUCACAGUCCCAGAGGGAUUGAAGAGUUUUAAAAAACCAAGAUAAGGCAUUUUAUGGAAGACAGGUUGAUGGAAGAAAAGUGGCCAUUGGAGGAUGAGGCAGAUGGCUUUCCAGGGAGGCCCUGGAGCUGCCACCAUGGGGAAGGCCAUGUUGCAGCUGCUGAUCAGAGCACAUUGGACGGUGUUUCCGUGUGAACAUGAAGACAAUGCUGCCUCUGUUUCUGUGACGCUGUGCUCUGAUCUUGCUGGAGGCGAAGUGGUGUCAGCUGUGCUUACAGGACAGUCAGUGGUGGUAGAAAAGAGGCCAGUGUGACCUGUGAAGGACUGGGCCCCUCUCACUCAACCUGAGUGCCUGCAGUUGUGGCCACCUUUAUUUGUGUAUUCUACUGUAUUUAUUUAUUUGCCUGGCUAAUUAGCUCUGUGCCACAUUCCUAAGCUAGAUGUGUCCCUUCAUGUAAGUGAGAGGGAGACAGAAAGAAAGACUGAGGUGGGGGGUAGGAGAAAGAGAGGAAAGCAAGCAAGAAGAAAGAGAAAGAGAGAAGAAGAAAGGAAGAGGAAAGAAAGAGAGAAAGAGAAAGAGAAGGAAGGAAGGAGAAAGAGAAGGAAAGAAGGAGCCUUCUAAUUUUAUUUCAUUUCUCCAAUAAAUGUUCCUAUAUUAAGACUUUAGACAAAGAUUAGAAAUAUGAUUUGACAGAAAGUGUAUGGAUGUGUUGUUCUAUUGCAUUGUAAGUAAAGUAUCCAUGGCAAUAUACAAAUAAUACAGCUCCUACCCCUAUUCUCUGUUGUUACUUUCAUGUGUUGUCUUAACUUUUUAAAUUUCAAGAUAAUAUUGCGCUUAUUUAUUUUUCCAUGAGGAGGCCUAGGAUUUAGCUUGAUUAGAAAAGCUGUGGAAAAUGAAUGUGCUAAUUACUUUAAAUCAAAUUGAAAAUAAAUUUUAUCCUGUUUCAUGCAAAA
rnacentral:lncRNA from 10 species